rnacentral:rRNA from 1 species
CGUGACUCCAAUUGACCGCAGGCUCACCCCUUGUGGUGCUCCCCCGCCAAUCCUUAAGUUCAUACUUGCGUACGUACUUCCCAGGCGGCAGACUUAACGGCUUCCCUGCGGCACUGCAUUGGCCACAAGCCAAUGCAUCACCGAGUCUGCAUCGUUUACAGCUGGGACUACCCGGGUAUCUAAUCCGGUUUGCUCCCCCAGCUUUCAUCCCUCACCGUCGAACGUGUUCUGGUACACCGCCUUCGCCACAGGUGGUCUUCAAUAGAUCAAAGGAUUUUACCCCUUCCUAUCGAGUACCGUGUACCUCUCCCACUCCCUAGCUGCACAGUAUUUUCGGCGGCCUAUACGUUAAGCGCAUAGAUUUAACCGAAAACUUAUGCAACCGGCUACGGAUGCUUUAGGCCCAAUAAACCUCCUGACCACUCGAGGUGCUGGUUUUACCGCGGCGGCUGACACCAGAACUUGCCCACCCCUUAUUCACCAGUGAUUCUACAACUGACAAAAGACUCCUUUACCAGGAGACACUCGGAUUAACU